AAUCAACGCUGGCGGCGCGCUUAACACAUGCAAGUCGAACGGGAAAGUGGGCAACCAUGAGUACAGUGGCGUACGGGUGAGUAACACGUGGGUGAUCUACCUCUUAGUGGGGAAUAACCCUGGGAAACCGGGGCUAAUACCGCAUAAUCUCGAGAGAGGAAAGCAGCAAUGCGCUGAGAGAGGAGCCCGCGGCCGAUUAGCUAGUUGGUAGGGUAAGAGCCUACCAAGGCAGAGAUCGGUAGCCGGCCUGAGAGGGCACACGGCCACACU
rnacentral:rRNA from 1 species